rnacentral:rRNA from 1 species
UGCCAGCCGCCGCGGUAAUACGAAGGGACCUAGCGUAGUUCGGAAUUACUGGGCUUAAAGAGUUCGUAGGUUGUUGAAAAAGUUGGUGGUGAAUCCCAGAGCUUAACUCUGGAACUGCCAUCAAAACUUUUCAGCUAGAGUAUGAUAGAGGAAGGCAGAAUUUCUAGUGUAAAGGUGAAAUUCGUAGAUAUUAGAAAGAAUACCGAUUGCGAAGGCAGCUUUCUGGGCCAUUACUGACACUCAGAGACGAAAGCUAGGGUAGCAAAUGGGAUUAGAUA